GGGGAUUUAGCUCAGUGGCAUAAGUGCCUGCCUGGCAAGCACGAGGUCAUGAGUUCGAUCCUCAGUACUGCCA
rnacentral:tRNA from 1 species